rnacentral:lncRNA from 1 species
UUUUUUUUUUUUUUUUAGGCACUUACUGCAGAUUCAAAAAAAGGAAGAACGGGAGAUCCAAGGUCAUGUUUUGACUGGUCACAAAUAUAUACUAUGAUCUUGUGCAAAUAAACAACUUUAUGGAAACUUUGCUUCCCAUCUAUAAAAAAAAAGUGUUGGAAAAUCUUUAAGCGGUAUUUUAGUCUGGGAGUCAGUGACUUUUGUGCCACUUGGACCAUCUGUUAGGACUGUUCAUGAGCGGAUGCUGCCUAAACCUGCAGGCCAUGCCCCUGUGAACAUUGCCUCUACUAGCAAGAAAUCCAGCCUUUGCCUGAUUUCUGAUGGGAACUGAGGGGCAAAUGAGAUAUUUCAGGAGAAUAUUUUUCAUGUUUCCCAUAUUGUCUUUGUCAUCCGGCCUCAGACAUUUGCUCAUCUUCUUUACGAGGAAUUCAAGCCAAUACUUCAAUUAACCCAGCUCUGAGA